ensembl:lncRNA
AGGAGUUUAAAUAAUUAAUUAAUCUAAAGCAAGAUUAAUUAUAUGUUUUAGAGGUAAAUUGUUCAAUUCAUUAAGAAUAGAGUUGACUAAAGAGAAUCUGUUUGAAGUUAGUGACAGUUGAAGGGAAUAAUGUUUAAUUUGCAGGUGAUAAAAAUCUAUUUAUAGGAUUUCAUAAGCCUACUCCUGAAAAAUGAUAUGCCAUCUAAAUACAGCCUAUACAUUCUUAAUUGUUGCCGAUAGCCUUAGAGAAUGUUAACCGUGGCCAACUAAUUUACCAAUUCAUGCCUUCAUCUAGUCAGCCUCCCCUCAUCGCCACUACCCACCCGCACGCCGACAACCACAGGCGCGCGCGCGCACACGCAAACACACGCACACUCAGACACGCUCACAAACACACGCUCAGUUGAACAGCCACGCUCGAGCACCAACUACCAUGGGACACUGCAGGGAAGGGAACCACUAGCAGGUUGGCUGAGGAAGCCAUGCGGCCAGCUCCGUGGCACUUUUGGACUGUCGUGUGAAUCAAGCGAGUCGUUGUGGUGCGGUCCGGUGACCGCUCAGUCGGCCUUCAUAGCGGGUCCGAACGAAUCCUUCCGCCUGCAGGGAUAGUGUAGGCCAGUGCGCCCAUGUAGCAGUUCUACCAGCGUGGCAGUAGACACCGAUGAAAGACCCCGUACAGCCAGCAGUACUGCAUGUGGUUGUAUCAUGACGUGACACUGUAUCGACCCGCACUAGAGCUGUUGUAGUCAGGACUGGGGUCCAGUGGACAGAGAACAGGUGGUGGAGGCCUGGCAUAGAGGGAAAGUUGCCACUCCCUCUGCAGGAUGAACACAGACAGGCCAAAACGCAAAAUCAUUCGGAAGAGAUAUGACGUCAGCGACGGGAUGCCGUGGUGCGAGGAGCGCAUGGUCCAGAAGGUUCUCUUCCUGUCCCUGAAGGAGUUCAGGGACGCCAGGCGCCCAAGCACCCAGGGGCCACACCGACCGAGGCCCGGGGCCGCGGCACAGGAUCAGCAGAGGACACCGCGGCCGAAGCCAGGAUCGCACGCACGCACAAAAAACAAGGCACCUGUCUCCCAAGAUGGGCCAAAACCAAAGCAGGGUCGCUGGCAAACACACGCGCUGGAAAACCCCGAGGAGGAGCUAGCACUGCCACAGAUUGCCCCGGACACCUGUUCGCCCCAAGGCAAACGCCACGGCCUUCAAACCGCACAGAUGCUCGUCGAGGUCCUGCCAGCAGCCAAGCUCGCACGUCGAAGACCAGCGACAGGCGCGCCACAGAACAGCCACUCGCUAGCGGGCGUUGCCGUCGCUCAGCCCAGAACACUGCGCUCACACAGAGCACAGAGCCUUCUCGCGUUCUUGAACACGUCCAAGCCACAGCGCGCGGCUCCGCCGACCCCGCAGGACACCCGCCCGAAAUGCGAGGAAGGGCUGAACGGCACUCGUGUCGCGCAAAGCACGUCCACGCAGACGGUCCCCACCAGGAUUCUGAGGUCCCACACACCUACCGCCCGCCUCAAUGGUGCUCCCAGACAGGUUCCAGCUCUGCUAUCCACCAAUGAGAGACAGGGACUGACCCUGCAGGCCUAUCAUCAGCAUCGUCACGGCAACAUGGGUCAUGGUAGAGAUGACCCGGCCAACCAGAGGCCGAAGCUUCAGGCUCAGAGAAAGUUUGCACAUUCUCCUCCCAGUUCUCCAGGACCUUUAGUGUCGCCUUCCUCCACACAUAACAACAGCUCUUCCACCUCCAGCUGCCUGACGAGACGCCGUCCCAAAACAGAAGACUUUCUUUCUUUUCUUUGUUUGAGAGGUUCUGUGGCAUUGCCGAACAGCAUGGCCGUCUUAGGUAGUUGCCGGAAAAAGGAAUCCGCUGUCACUUCAUGUCUUCCCAGCAGUCUAGGGCGGCCGACGGAGAAAGGCAGGACUACAGCCUUCAGGAGAAAAGCCCGCCACGGCAUGGCCCCCAGGCCGCUGAGGAGGCUGGGGGUGGCGGCCCUCCUCCUCCGGGGGGCCGGAGACACGGAGGCCGCCGGCAAGCGGAGAUACGGACUGUGUUCCAACGCCGCCGCCGCCGCCGCCUCCUUCGCUCCGAGGAAACUGAGCCUAAGGGAAAGGAAGAUGAGGGAGGGGAAAGGAGAAGGGAAGCCGACGGGGAACGGUGGAAGAGAGAAGAGGGCAGGGGGGAGAGUCGAGGGGAGGAGGAAGAGAGAGCCGGUUCGUGUCCUGCGACCUCGCCAGCUCUCUCUGCAGGUUGCCAUGGUGACUGGGCUCUCUGAUCAACACACUUCCUAUGUACUACAAGCGCCGCCAAUCAAGUCUAAAUCGACCAAUAGCAGCAGACGUUCCGGACCCUAUUCUAGGGAGAGCAAAGCUAGUUUGCCCAGAAGGCCCCAUGUGAGCAUUAAACACCACAUUACCCGUAGAAACCUAAAAACAUACACAAAUCACAGAAUGCCUCAGAACCAGCAUGGCACUUGCAACCACAGAAUUGCCUCUGUUCAUCAUUGCCAACUCAGGAACCUUGCAUGUUCCCAAUCUUCAAGGGAGAACUCUGCCAGGACCCCAGUCAAAACACCAGGCCCGAACAGAAUGCUUUAUGCAAAUCCAGCAGCUAAUAGCUCAGCUAUGAGGCACCCAAACAAACGCGUCAGUGAGCAUUCUGGGGUCGUGAGACUGUCCAGGAGAAUGAGAGGCCUUCCACCAGAUACCGGUCUUAAUCUUUUAAACGCUCUAUUUGCAAUGCCAAGCAACAACUGCAUGAACCUGAGGAACGGCCAGAUACAGCAACACAAAGGCUCCAAGAUGACGUUGCAUGGCAUACAACGCGGCACCGAGGUCCUCCGAGAGAGGCUGGGGUUUGACCCCAAGGCUCCCAAAAGGGAGACGAGGCUCGACCGCGGUGUCGGAGCCCGUGAAGCAGCGGAGGACAGCAUCAGGUGUGCGGAGGACGUGGCGGUGGGAGACACGGUGUCGACGCAGGGGACCGUAGGUAAGAGCGGGGUGGACAGGGACACUGAGGAGAUUGGUAAGGACGGUGACUGUCUUUUCAGCGAGGACGGGAAGGACAUCUGCCAACAGCCGUUAGGAAGAGAUGGACGGGAAGUCAGCGGUCGUCUUGUUGAGGGCGAACAACAGACCCCGGGCUGCGCUAGUCUGGACAGAUUGAGGAGCAGGAAAAUGAUGUGCGAGGCAGAUCACAGGAGCUGCGGCGACACUAGUGAGGUUGUGUUGUGUCAAGGCCACGUCGAUAGCUCCGCAGAAGAGGACAACGGCGAUGUAGCUUCAGUCCCAUCCAAACCAGCACCACCUACAAGGACUGUCACCAGAGCGGCAGUGGCCAAGGCCAAUGCGGCAAAUACAUCGUUAACGUAUACCAGUGUAGAUUCAGGUGAAAGAACAAACUGUUCUGCCAGGGGUGCUAAGCCAAAUCACAACAGCACAAACAAAUUCACAAGUGCAGCCAACUGUCCCUUCGACAAUACCAACCGGGGGACCUCUAAGGAGUCAUUCAAUGCUCUCAGUAAGAACUUAUCAAAGGGCACUGCUCCAAACGGCAGGAAUCCUAACACCACUUCCAAAGGGCCAAUAAAGCCUUCUACCUCUGUCGCUAAGACCAGAACGAGCCCUAGGAACCUGAAGCCGUAG